AGUGAACGCUGGCGGUAGGCCUAACACAUGCAAGUCGAACGGCAGCACAGUAAGAGCUUGCUCUUACGGGUGGCGAGUGGCGGACGGGUGAGGAAUACAUCGGAAUCUACUUUUUCGUGGGGGAUAACGUAGGGAAACUUACGCUAAUACCGCAUACGACCUACGGGUGAAAGCAGGGGAUCUUCGGACCUUGCGCGAUUGAAUGAGCCGAUGUCGGAUUAGCUAGUUGGCGGGGUAAAGGCCCACCAAGGCGACGAUCCGUAGCUGGUCUGAGAGGAUGAUCCGCCACACUGGAACUGAGACACGGUCCAGACUCCUACGGGAGGCAGCAGUGGGGAAUAUUGGACAAUGGGCGCAAGCCUGAUCCAGCCAUACCGCGUGGGUUAAGAAGGCCUUCGGGUUGUAAAGCCCUUUUGUUGGGAAAGAAAAGCAGCAGGUUAAUACCCCGCUGUUCUGACGGUACCCAAAGAAUAAGCACCGGCUAACUUCGUU
rnacentral:rRNA from 1 species